rnacentral:lncRNA from 1 species
CAUGUGCUUAUGUAGCUUCAUAAGCUCCUCACUAAGUGAAGUAAGGAUUAAGCAUUUGGCUUGUAAGUCAUUCUCAUAGUGUCUAACAUAAUUUUGACACUCCUCCUUUGAAGCUAAUUUCGUAGGAGGUACAUGAGGUGGGGAUUGCUUAAGCACAUACAAUAUGUCUUUCACCUUUGAGACAUUCUCAAUAUGGCGAUACCAAGCAAGGAAACGUUGGCCCUUAAGGCCCUUUUUGUCAAGUAUAAUGGUGGGUAUAAUUUUAGGCAUGUCGUUCACUACAUAACAUAACAGAAAUCGUAUU